CCCAGGGCUUUGCCAUCCCCAGACCUGCUUUGUGCCCAGCAAUUCCUCACAAUAAUUAGCUCAGAGUUCCUGACUGCUGCUGCUGACACAGGCCUGGAGCACCACAGGGGUACCACAUCACCAGGAUCACCACAGCAGGUUGAAGCAAGAGAGAACACACUUUUCCUAAAGGAGGAAGAAGAUUAUCCACCCUCUAUUACACAGAGUUUUCCUUUUGGUGUUUUUCUUUUCGCUGAGCGUGGCAGAGCAGAGAUUUGCUGUGAGAUCUGGCAGAAGGAGCGAGCUUUGAUGACGGAUGCACUGAACAGUUUUGUCUGCUCAGUAUCUUCAAGAGCUGCUCUGAGACUAAGCCAGCCCCCGAGCAGAGGCCGCUGCUGCACAAACCAACAGUGCGAUAACGUGACUCCUGUGGAACCAGCUUUGGCAGUCUUCAUCAAUUGUAAAGAAGAGAAAGCUUCUCCUGGUUUGAUAAAAAGAGUUAGAGCUUCACAGUAAACGUUUCUAACCAGUUCUAAAGUCGAGUUAGUUGGCUGAAGGAAGGGGGGGGAAGGAGAGGAAGCCAAAACGCUUAAAGUUUCCAGCUUAAAAAAAAAAAUAAUAAAAAAAAAAAAAGAAGAAAAUCUUUUUGAA